rnacentral:rRNA from 1 species
UACGUAGGGUGCAAGCGUUUAAUCGGAAUUACUGGGCGUAAAGCGUGCGCAGGCGGUUUUGUAAGUCUGACGUGAAAUCCCCGGGCUCAACCUGGGAAUUGCGUUGGAGACUGCAAGGCUAGAAUCUGGCAGAGGGGGGUAGAAUUCCACGUGUAGCAGUGAAAUGCGUAGAGAUGUGGAGGAACACCGAUGGCGAAGGCAGCCCCCUGGGUCAAGAUUGACGCUCAUGCACGAAAGCGUGGGGAGCAACAGG